GUUACAUGAUUUAAAUAGAUAAGACGAUGCUCUGUGAGGUGUGCAACAGUUAAUAGCAUGUUAGAGUUCUGAUGGUA